CUCAGGACGAACGCUGGCGGCGUGCCUAAUACAUGCAAGUCGAACGCUUCUUUCCUCCCGAGUGCUUGCACUCRAUUGGAAAGAGGAGUGGCGGACGGGUGAGUAACACGUGGGUAACCUACCCAUCAGAGGGGGAUAACACUUGGAAACAGGUGCUAAUACCGCAUAACAGUUUAUGCCGCAUGGCAUAAGAGUGAAAGGCGCUUUCGGGUGUCGCUGAUGGAUGGACCCGCGGUGCAUUAGCUAGUUGGUGAGGUAACGGCUCACCAAGGCCACGAUGCAUAGCCGACCUGAGAGGGUGAUCGGCCACACUGGGACUGAGACACGGCCCAGACUCCUACGGGAGGCAGCAGUAGGGAAUCUUCGGCAAUGGACGAAAGUCUGACCGAGCAACGCCGCGUGAGUGAAGAAGGUUUUCGGAUCGUAAAACUCUGUUGUUAGAGAAGAACAAGGACGUUAGUAACUGAACGUCCCCUGACGGUAUCUAACCAGAAAGCCACGGCUAACUACGUGCCAGCAGCCGCGGUAAUACGUAGGUGGCAAGCGUUGUCCGGAUUUAUUGGGCGUAAAGCGAGCGCAGGCGGUUUCUUAAGUCUGAUGUGAAAGCCCCCGGCUCAACCGGGGAGGGUCAUUGGAAACUGGGAGACUUGAGUGCAGAAGAGGAGAGUGGAAUUCCAUGUGUAGCGGUGAAAUGCGUAGAUAUAUGGAGGAACACCAGUGGCGAAGGCGGCUCUCUGGUCUGYAACUGACGCUGAGGCUCGAAAGCGUGGGGAGCAAACAGGAUUAGA
rnacentral:rRNA from 1 species